GACGAACGCUGGCGGCGUGCUUAACACAUGCAAGUCGAACGGUAAGGCCCUUCGGGGUACACGAGUGGCGAACGGGUGAGUAACACGUGGGUGAUCUGCCCUGCACUUCGGGAUAAGCCUGGGAAACUGGGUCUAAUACCGGAUAGGACCCUGCGAUUCAUGUCCUGGGGUGGAAAGCUUUUGCGGUGUGGGAUGGGCCCGGGGCCAGUCAGCUUGUGGGUGGGGUGAUGGCCUACCAAGGCGACGACGGGUAGCCGGCCUGAGAGGGUGACCGGCCACACUGGGACUGAGAUACGGCCCAGACUCCUACGGGAGGCAGCAGUGGGGAAUAUUGCACAAUGGGCGCAAGCCUGAUGCAGCGACGCCGCGUGAGGGAUGACGGCCUUCGGGUUGUAAACCUCUUUCAGCACCGACGAAGCGCAAGUGACGGUAGGUGCAGAAGAAGGACCGGCCAACUACGUGCCAGCCGCCGCAGUAA
rnacentral:rRNA from 1 species